rnacentral:rRNA from 1 species
AGAGUUUGAUCAUGGCUCAGGAUGAACGCUGGCGGUAUGCCUUACACAUGCAAGUCGUACGAGAGUUUUUAAUUCAAGUGGCGGACGGGUGAGUAACACGUAAGAAUUUGCCUUUAGGAGGGGGACAACAACUGGAAACGGUUGCUAAUACCCCAUAUGCUUUCGAGUAAAAUGGAUUUUUCCGCCUAAAGAGAAGCUUGCGGCUGAUUAGCUUGUUGGUGGGGUAAUGGCUCACCAAGGCGACGAUCAGUAUCUGGUUUGAGAGGGCGAUCAGACACACUGGAACUGAGACACGGUCCAGACUCCUACGGGAGGCAGCAGUGGGGAAUUUUCCGCAAUGGGCGAAAGCCUGACGGAGCAAUACCGCGUGAGGGAUGACGGCCUAUGGGUUGUAAACCUCUUUUUUCAGGGAGGAAUCAAUGACGUGUACCGAAGAAAAG